UGAGGAGCUGCUUCCAUAGCUUCCCUACUGGAAAGAUGUUUGGGUGGGGAGCAGGUGUCCAGGGGGCUGUCCUGCCUGCAGGCUCUCCUGGAGGGCCCGGGACCAGGGCUCCAGAGAAAGUCCCUCCCUGUUGCAGCUCUGGCAGCCUGGCCGCUCGUCCCCAGUCUCUGGGCCCCGUGUGCCUGCUGUUGGUCCCUGGGCCAAGAUAGGAGCCAUCCAGGGUGGGAGCUGUGACGACCUGGGCCCCUAGGCCCAGCCUCCGACCCAUUCUGAACACUCAGGAUCUUUCCCAGAAGUUCUUUCCCUUCCUGAGGAGUUUGAAGCUCCUGGAUGAGUGAUCUGGCAGCUCUCCUGUUUGACCAGAGGCCACGGCAUGGAAGGACGAUGGGAGAGAAAUGGAAAGAUGAAAAUGUGGGCACGCGGCCCCUCUGCGGGUAGCGCAGGCCACACCAGCAUCUCUGAGCAUAGGCACCUGCCCUAGCAGGCUCCAUCAGCAGCCCAGCCCUGAGUCAGAAGAGGAACGGAGGCGGCUCAAGGACUGAGCAGGAAGGGCCUGUGUAUGGCUGCCUCCCUAAAGAGGACUGGCGUUGUCCGGGCUAAACAGGGGCUUGGUAGAGUAUGCACUGCUGUCCCCGUGAACACAAACCUGCAGACAUCUCAGUGGCUUCAUCGCCAGGCACAGGGCCUAAGAGAGCUACAUAGAGAGAGAGAGAGAGAGAGGUCCGUCUUCCAUCCACCGGUUCCCUCCCUCCCGCAGUGGCCGGAGCUGCGCCGAUCCGAAGCCAGGAACCAGGGCCUUUAUCCAGGUCUUGGACGUGUGUGCAGGGCCCCAAGCACUGAACCAUCCUCCGCUACUUCUCCGGCGCAUUCGGAUCGGAACAUGGAUCGGAACUGUGGCAGCCAGGACGACCGGAGCCGAGGGCAUGUCGGCACCAUGGAAGGCAGUUGUACCCGGUACCACCGCGACGGACCCAAAGCCGUCUUUGCUAAUGCAAAUCCGAGAACCUCUCCUGCCGCCCAACGCCCAGUCUCGAGUGCAAGAUCACAGAAAACGCUUGAGACCCCUCUUUAAGUCCCGGAGAUCCUGCCCACCAAAGAAGCCGUUAGUCCCGCCCUGGAAUCCUAGCAACCGCCGCGGGAAGUCCCGGUGCCGCGGACGGAGGCUUCCAGGGGGCGGGGCCUCACCACGCGCGCAUGCGUGGGGGUGGCUGCGCGUGGGCGCCCGGUGCAUUCUGGGCCAGGUGACCCGGGGCCCGGCGUGCGUGUCCGCCCGAGUGGGCGGUGGGUGAGGCGCGAGCAGGGCCGAUGGGGCAGCUGAUGUCCAGGGUGUCCUGCCGGCGGCCCCCGACUUGUGGGAGGCCUACACGUUAAUGGUUCAGUCUUGUCCGUGACCAUUGGAGGAUCGCUUCCCGCUUUUCGGUCCUCUCCUCUUUCUGUGCUGUGAUACCGGGUGGUUCUCUGCGGGCGCGAAAUCGUCCGACGUCUAAAGAGCGGCAAGGACUCCCGUUUCUCUUGCUGACCUAGAAUGAUAAGGUCGGCAGAGGCCGCAGAUUCACUGUGGCCCGUCAGCCCCGCAGCGUGCUGGUUCAUUACUCUGCCGCAUGAGGUCUUAGCGAGGGUCCAUCCUCUGCACCGGACAGUCGGGGGGAAACCCUGGGUGCGUGUCUAAUCGGGAGUCACGGGUGAAUGGUGCCUUUGAGUAACUGAGCCAUGGGUGUUGUCUCUGGGGUCAGGGAAGGGCGAGCAUGCCUGACACGUCUCCAAGUGAUGGAGGCAGGCGUCCGCACCCCUGGGUGAUGGCACUGUCCUGAGUGCUCUCUACUGGACCGGCAGUCUUGUCCCCCGCGUCCUGCUGGAGACACCUGCCACCUUGCGCAGUCUGCGGCUGCUUUGUGUCUCCCUCACCCUGGUCAGUUCUGCUGGCCCCUGGCUGACUCAGCCUCAGCCCAGCUGCGCUGACAGCAGCAGAGCCCCCUGGAUGCGGGUCUCACCCUCAUCCUCCCCCUGUGCAGGGCUUGCCCCUCUGCAGCCCAGCUGCGGGUCACCUACCCCUAAGCAGUAUGGCUCCCUUCAGGUGAGCACUUGGGCACCUUUUAAGAAAAAGAGACUUGAUUAUUUGAAGGCAGAAGGACAGAGAAAGAGGGACAGACAGAGGGAGUGGGCCACCUUCCAGUCACUGUUCACUUCCCAAAUGGCCACAGAUGCCUGGGCUGGGCCAAGCCAAAUCAGGAGUCUGCAACUCCAUCCGGGUCUCCAUGUAGGUUGCAGGGGCCCAGCACUCAGACCCUCAUCAGCUCCUUUCCAAGGUGCAUGACCUGAUGAGCUGCGCCAGAAGUGGGGCAGGUAGGACUCCAACCAGCCCUCACAUGGGAAGCAGGUAUCCCAGGCAGCAGCUUAACCCACCGUGCCACAAUGCCAGCCCUGCACCCUGGUCUUGAAUCAGCCACUGUCCAGAUUCUCCUUCAGGGAAUCGUGCCCCUGGCGUGUCCCCUGCCACACAGCAGCAGCCUCCAUCAGCUCCUGAAAAGUGCCAGGGGCUUCCGAAGGUUCACGGGCAAGUGGAGGUGAAUGCUAGGUUUACUAUGGAGCAUGCAAUGCUGCAGUCACUGUGAUGUUUGUUCAGUGUGCUCGGAUCUUGUGCACUUUUUGAAGACCCACCAUACAGUCGUGCGAAAUGAACGUUCUUAUUCCCAAACAUGUGUUGGGUAAAAUCCUA